AUUGAACGCUGGCGGCAGGCCUAACACAUGCAAGUCGAGCGGAUGAAGGGAGCUUGCUCCUGGAUUCAGCGGCGGACGGGUGAGUAAUGCCUAGGAAUCUGCCUGGUAGUGGGGGAUAACGUCCGGAAACGGGCGCUAAUACCGCAUACGUCCUGAGGGAGAAAGUGGGGGAUCUUCGGACCUCACGCUAUCAGAUGAGCCUAGGUCGGAUUAGCUAGUUGGUGGGGUAAAGGCCUACCAAGGCGACGAUCCGUAACUGGUCUGAGAGGAUGAUCAGUCACACUGGAACUGAGACACGGUCCAGACUCCUACGGGAGGCAGCAGUGGGGAAUAUUGGACAAUGGGCGAAAGCCUGAUCCAGCCAUGCCGCGUGUGUGAAGAAGGUCUUCGGAUUGUAAAGCACUUUAAGUUGGGAGGAAGGGCAGUAAGUUAAUACCUUGCUG
rnacentral:rRNA from 1 species